rnacentral:rRNA from 1 species
GAUGAACGCUGGCGGUAUGCUUAACACAUGCAAGUCGAACGGACUCUUCGGAGUUAGUGGCGGACGGGUGAGUAACGCGUGUGAAUCUGGCUUUGGGUUCGGGACAACCACUGGAAACGGUGGCUAAUACCGGAUGUGCCGAGAGGUAAAAGAGAAAUUGCCUGAAGAUGAGCUCGCGUCUGAUUAGCUAGUUGGUGAGGUAAAGGCUCACCAAGGCAGCGAUCAGUAGCUGGUCUGAGAGGAUGACCAGCCACACUGGGACUGAGACACGGCCCAGACUCCUACGGGAGGCAGCAGUGGGGAAUUUUCCGCAAUGGGCGAAAGCCUGACGGAGCAAUACCGCGUGAGGGAAGAAGGCUCUUGGGUUGUAAACCUCUUUUCUUAGGGAAGAACAAAAUGACGGUACCUAAGGAAUCAGCAUCGGCUAACUCCGUG